rnacentral:lncRNA from 1 species
AUGAACUUGACCCCUCUUCAAACCAGGAGAGGGGACCCCGCAUGGGGCUGGGUGUCCCCCCUGAGGAAGGCAGCCCCCCAAGGAGCACCCUGGCAGCACCCCGAGGUGCUCCCCCCCAGCACCACAAGUGGGGCAGAGCCGGCAGCCUGUCCUCGCCCACCCAGGCACCCUGGAUCGUGUGUGUGGGCCCCGGUGUUUCUACAAGGGGCUGAAUCCGGGUGUGGUUUUGUGCCACGACACCAGAAUGGGUCCCUCCGGGGCUCUGCAGGGCGAGGGGCACCUCCAGCCCCACCGACUCUGGGGUGGGAUGUUGCAGUCUCCAUCAUUUCUGCAUCCCACCCUCAUCCCUGGCUGGCAGAGAAGGGGGUUCUCCAGAGACCCUCCGUGGGCAGGGGGUGCUGGGCCUCUCCUGCUGCUGCCAGGGCUGAGGGGUUGGUGCUUCUGUGGUGUCCCCAGUCUGUGUUGUCCCCGGUCUGCGUUGUGCCCCAUCUGUGGUGUCCCCCGUCUGCCACCGCCUUUACCAUCAAAGGACCCCCCGAAGAGGGGGGCCGUGCUGCAGCCCCUCCCCAGCCCGGGCCCUUGUCCUCAUCAGCCUCUGUCCUGCGGGCUGGGGCUGCAGGAGCCACGUGUGGCCCCGGAGCAUCUCGGGGAGCUCGGAGCGUCCUCUCCCGCGCCCUGCGGUCCGGGCGAGCGUGGGCUGGGCUGGGGGCGCCCUCUGGUGGCGACCUGCGGGGCUGGAGCCUGGCCGUGCCACGGAGCGCGGGUUGUGCCCCCCAGCCCGGCUCUGCCUGUCGGUCCGGCUGUGCUGAGCCCCCACACCAGCGUCACCCGGCCCAGAGAAGGGCGACGGAGCUGGUGAGGGGUCUGGAGCACAAGUCUUGUGAGGAGAGGCUGAGGGAGCUGGGGUUAUUCAGCCUGGAGAAGAGGAGGCUGAGGGGAGACCUUCUUGCUCUCUCCAACUCCCUGAAAGGAGGGUGUAGAGAGGUGGGGGUCGGUCUCUUCUCUCAAGUCACAGGCGACAGGACAAGAGGAAAUGGCCUCAAGUUGCGCCAGGGGAGGUUCAGGCUGGAUAUUAGGAAAUUUUUUCACCGAAAGGGUUCUCAGCCAUUGGAAUGGGCUGCCCAGGGAGGGGGUUGA